CAGCCGCCGCGGUAAUACCGGCGGCCCGAGUGGCGGUCACUAUUAUUGGGCUUAAAGCGUCCGUAGCCGGGUUGGGAAGUCCUCCGGGAAAUCUGGCCGCUUAACGGUCAGAAUGCCGGAGGAUACUCCCAGCCUAGGGAGCGGGAGAGGCCGAGGGUAUUCCCGGAGUAGGGGUGAAAUCCUAUAAUCCCGGGAGGACCACCUGUGGCGAAGGCGCUCGGCUGGAACGCGUCCGACGGUGAGGGACGAAGGCCAGGGGAGCAAACCGGAUUAGAUGCCCGGGUAGUCCUGGCUGUAAACGAUGCGGACUUUGUGUCGGACAAGCUAUGAGCUUGUCCGGUGCCGGAGGGAAACCGUUAAGUCCGCCGCCUGGGGAGUACGGCCGCAAGGCUGAAACUUAAAGGAAUUGGCGGG
rnacentral:rRNA from 1 species